GGGGGCGACAUGGCUUCGACGUGGGCUGUGAAACCUCAGGAGCAUGCCGAGGCGUACGAGGUCCUCGUAAAAACGUACAAACUUGUAUUCGGCACAACCGAUUACGCACUUGCUGCCUAAUUUUUUAGAGUAGCAACGUCGAACCCGACGAUCGCCGAUGUCGCGGGCAAGACGCCACUUUAGUCGGAUCGACCGCGAGCUGCUCUCUCCAGGACUUGCGGUUUAAAAAUACUGGGGGGCGGGCAUCAGGAAGGCUGUCGUUGGUCGCCCCGGUGUCUUAGUUAAAUCAGCGACUAAGCAUGUAGCCUGUCUGAGCGCGGAUCACUUACGGACGCGGGUUCGACUCCCGCCGCCUCCACCA
rnacentral:tmRNA from 1 species